GAUUUCUGGGUCUUGUGUGCAUCUUCGGCCCUUACUAAGACUCAAAAUCUAAGUAAAAAUCCAUUAAAAAUUCCUCCACUCCUUUACUCAAAACUUAUAUGAGAAUGGGUUUUACUUCAUUUUUACUCAAAUCAAGGCUCUUUCACUUACUCAGCAUCUUUAAAGCUUACAACUCUUCCAUUAAUGAAUCUUUUACUCAGAGUUUGUCAAAUGCAAGUAAAAUAUUUAAGGGCUGGAGAUGGCCACAGUACAUGUUUGGGUUGGAAUUUUUCCACGAAAAAGUCUAUCAGUGUUAGUAAUUGCCUUAUUAAGAAUUGGUUGGUUUAAUUUGUCCCGUAAGAAAUUAUGAAUAUUUUGUAUUAUUAAUUAUUAAUUACUUAUGGUUAUUUUUUUAUUUAAAUUUGAGUGAUAAAUAAAGAAACAUAUAUUAUUAGGUGUCUUUUUGUGAAAGGGUAUGUCUAGGUGAAAAGAAAUACUAAUUGAGAAUAGUUAUAUUUGUUUGGAAUAGAUGCAAGUUUAAGCAUUUUGAAUAUAAAUACAAGGGGUCCCUAAUCUAUCCUUAAUCCGAACAACAAGUUUGUGUUCUAUCAAUGGAUUAAUCAAGUCAAAGGUCUUAUGUUAGAAGAAUUUCUCUGUUUUAGUCAAUCACUUGAACAAUUAUGGCCGAAAGUACGAUCCGUCUCCCGCUGCGAAAUUAUGUAUAAUAUUUCUAUGUUCAUGUGCUAGAUUGAGAAAUCAGAAGGUAUUACGGGGGAAAAUAUACAAUAAUAGAAUCUAGUCUUGCUAUGGUAGGCAGAGCUGUCAAAUGAGUUGGGCUACCCGCGGGCCGCCCAAACCCCGCCCGAUUCCGUACGGCCCGAGCCCGAUCCGAGCUCGAUUGGUCCCGAGCCCGCUAAUUAACUGGCUUGGACUUUUCAUUACAAUCAAGCCCGAAAGCCCAAAUGAGCCCGAGCUCAAGCCCAAAUGAGCCCGAGCCCGAAUACUCUAGUAACAUGUAAGAUUUGAAUUUUGAUCUGAUUACAGUCCAGCUGUUAGUGGAUUGCGUGCUCAACGUAUCAUACAGUAGAAAAGGCCAAUCAAUUUAAAUGAUCUGCACGAAGCCAGGGACCAGGGAGGCCUUGAUUUAAAAUGUGCAGGAUGUAAAUUUGAUUUGAUAGCCAAGUUGGCCAUGGCUACCUAUCUAUUUAAUAUUUUACUAUUUACAUUGUGUCCCAUUUCCAUAUAUGUAUAGCUUGUGACAGCCUUCCCGUUGACAACUUGAGUCUUGACACUUGACACCACUGUGUUACUAUUUACAUUACACACAAUUAAAUACGGUGUACCAACUCCCAAAGGCCAAAACCCAAAGCAAAGUACCAAAAAAUCCAACCUAAAGGCUAAAAGGUCAACAAAUAAGGGUACAAUCAUUGUCAGCUAUAAGUAGGUUGGCAUGGUAGGGGGCUCUAAUCACUGGCGGCUAGGC
rnacentral:lncRNA from 1 species